rnacentral:rRNA from 1 species
GACAGAGGCCCCGAGCGUUAGUCGGAAUUACUGGGCUUAAAGGGUGCGUAGGCGGGCGUGUAAGUGCCUUGUGAAAGCCCUGGGCUCAACCCAGGAACCGCAGGGCAUACUGCACGUCUCGAGGUAGCUAGAGGCCGGUGGAACGAUCGGUGGAGCGGUGGAAUGCGUAGAGAUCGAUCGGAACACCAGUGGCGAAGGCGGAACUCUGGGCCGGAACUGACGCUGAGGAGCGAAAGCGUGGGGAGCGAACAGG